CGCCUGUUUAACAAAAACAUGUCUUUUUGAAUAUAUAAAAAGUCUGACCUGCCCACUGAGUAUUUAAAUGGCCGCAGUAUAUUAACUGUGCAAAGGUAGCAUAAUCAUUAGUCUUUUAAUUGAAGGCUGGUAUGAAUGGUUGGACGAAAUAUUAACUGUUUCAUUUAAAUUUAUAGUAGAAUUUUAUUUUUCAGUAAAAAAGCUGAAAUAUAGUUAAAAGACGAGAAGACCCUAUAAAUCUUUAUAUUUAAGUUAUUUUAAAAUUAUAGAUUUUUUUGUUUUAUGAUAAUGAUUAAUAUUUUAUUGGGGUGAUAUUAAAAUUUAAUAAACUUUUAAUUUUUUUAUUUCAUUAAUUUAUGAAUAAUUGAUCCGUUUUUAACGAUUAAAAAUUUAAGUUACUUUAGGGAUAACAGCGUAAUUUUUUUGGAGAGUUCUUAUCGAUAAAAGAGAUUGCGACCUCGAUGUUGGAUUAAGAUAUAAUUUUAGGUGUAGAAGCUUAAAUUUUAAGUCUGUUCGACUUUUAAAUUCUUACGUGAUCUGAGUUCAGACCGG
rnacentral:rRNA from 1 species